GUUGAAGUCGCGCAAUGCUGCCUAGGUCUACUUCCUGGAUUUGUAAAGCAGGUCACCAGAACAGGUGGAACGGAGGAGCCAGAGAGGGAGGAAUAGAACUUGAAUACCACAUUCAGCAAGCUGAAAGAAUCGGUUCUUCCAGGAAGCGUCUCAGUUCCACGGUUGAGGGGCGCAGCGGACUGAUUCGAAGACCCUGAGGUUGAUCCCAAACAAGGAGUUGAGGUGUGGUCCUCAAACGCAAAAUGGUAGAGUCUGGUCUCCUCCUCCCCCAGGUAAUUUUCUCCAUGUCUCCAGUGCAGGGUGUUAAUUAGCUGGGAGCCGUGGGGUGGGCAUUCAGGUUAAGUGCUUCAGGUUUAAAACUCAUCAGAGCAGACAUGUCCCACGGGGCUUCGCUGUGGAUCUGGCAGCGGCAGGAUUAAGUUUCGUGGC